AUGGCCUUCCUCCAGUCCCAAGUGCUGCUCCUCCUCCACGCCACAGCCACCUCCUCUCCUGCUCCUGCUUCACUUGCCGCCACGCUGGCCAUCAACUCCGGCGUGCGCUGCCUUCGCGUCCGAGCUGCUCUGCUCCGCCCCUCCCUUCUCCUCUUCGGGUUCGUUCCUAGCGCCUCCGUCGCUCCCCUGCACCAUGCGUCGGCCUCUGCGAGCACUGGAUGCUUCGGCGAGCCCUUCGCCAGCCUACAACCUCCGCUGCUGCCCGUCCAGGAAAGCCUCGCCGGCCUCCCCGUCCUCUGCUUCUCCUCGCCUCGCCGUCCAAGUGACUGCUUGGCUCCGCUCUGCCGCCCUGCUUCUUCCUCGUCACCGGCGAGCCGGUGCCUACAAGCGAGGGCUGUAGGUCAUGCAGGAGAGCUCAUGCUCAACCCCGCAACCCUCCAUCGCGCCUCCGCGCGCCCAACCUCCGUCACCGGCCGACCACCAGCAAGGCUUCGUCAUCGAGGCCGCAACCUCCUCCUCGUCCACGUGCCUCGCCUGCCAUGGGGCAGCAGCAGCAGCCCUCGUCCUCACUGCGUCCAUGCUCCAGCCCCGACCUCCGCCCGUGAUAGCUGCUGCUACCGCGACUUGAGCUGCUGCUCCCUGCUUCGCUAUAUACCGUCGCCUCUUUGCCAUGGCCAUCGCUGA
rnacentral:rRNA from 1 species